rnacentral:tRNA from 1 species
UAUGAAAUGGCAGAUAAAAUGCAUAAGUUUUAAGCGCUUAUCAUGGCUUUAAUAGCCUUUCAUAA